rnacentral:rRNA from 1 species
ACGGGAGGCAGCAGUGGGGAAUCUUGCGCAAUGGGCGAAAGCCUGACGCAGCGACGCCGUGUGCGGGAAGAAGGCCUUCGGGUUGUAAACCGCUUUCAGGAGGGACGAAGCCACUCAGGUUAAUAGCCGAGAGGGUGACGGUACCUCCAGAAGAAGCCCCGGCUAACUACGUGCCAGCAGCCGCGGUAAUACGUAGGGGGCUAGCGUUGUCCGGAUUUAUUGGGCGUAAAGAGCGUGUAGGCGGCCAGGUAAGUCCGGUGUGAAAACUCGAGGCUUAACCUCGAGAUGUCAUCGGAAACUAUUUGGCUAGAGUCCGGAAGAGGAGAGUGGAAUUCCUGGUGUAGCGGUGAAAUGCGCAGAUAUCAGGAAGAACACCUAUGGCGAAAGCAGCUCUCUGGGACGGUACUGACGCUGAGACGCGAAAGCGUGGGGAGCGAACAGGAUUAGAUACCCUGGUA